rnacentral:piRNA from 1 species
UCAUAAGGUUAAGUAUGCGUGGGUUCAACA